UACGUAGGGAGCAAGCGUUGUCCGGAAUUAUUGGGCGUAAAGCGCGCGUAGGUGGCCUCAUAAGUCCGCUGUGAAAGUCAAAGGCUCAACCUUUGAAAGCCGGUGGAUACUGUGAGGCUAGAGUACGGAAGAGGCGAGUGGAAUUCCUGGUGUAGCGGUGGAAUGCGCAGAUAUCAGGAGGAACACCAAUAGCGAAGGCAGCUCGCUGGGACGUUACUGACACUGAGGCGCGAAAGCGUGGGGAGCGAACAGG
rnacentral:rRNA from 1 species